rnacentral:rRNA from 1 species
AUUGAACGCUGGCGGCAGGCCUAACACAUGCAAGUCGAGCGGUAGAGAGAAGCUUGCUUCUCUUGAGAGCGGCGGACGGGUGAGUAAUGCCUAGGAAUCUGCCUGGUAGUGGGGGAUAACGUUCGGAAACGGACGCUAAUACCGCAUACGUCCUACGGGAGAAAGCAGGGGACCUUCGGGCCUUGCGCUAUCAGAUGAGCCUAGGUCGGAUUAGCUAGUUGGUGAGGUAAUGGCUCACCAAGGCGACGAUCCGUAACUGGUCUGAGAGGAUGAUCAGUCACACUGGAACUGAGACACGGUCCAGACUCCUACGGGAGGCAGCAGUGGGGAAUAUUGGACAAUGGGCGAAAGCCUGAUCCAGCCAUGCCGCGUGUGUGAAGAAGGUCUUCGGAUUGUAAAGCACUUUAAGUUGGGAGGAAGGGCAGUAAAUUAAUACUUUGCUGUUUUGACGUUACCGACAGAAUAAGCACCGGCUAACUCUGUGCCAGCAGCCGCGGUAAUACAGAGGGUGCAAGCGUUAAUCGGAAUUACUGGGCGUAAAGCGCGCGUAGGUGGUUUGUUAAGUUGGAUGUGAAAUCCCCGGGGUUCAACCUGGGAACUGCAUUUCAAACUGACUGACUAGAGUAUGGUAGAGGGUGGUGGGAAUUUCCGGUGUAACGGGUGGAAUGCCGAAAUUUAGGAAGGGAACCCCAGUGGCGAAGGCCACCACCUGGACUAAUAUUGACACUGAAGUGCGAAAGCGUGGGGAGCAAACAGGAUUAGAUACCUGGUAGUCCACGCCGUAAACGAUGUCAACUAGCCGUUGGAAGCCUUGAGCUUUUAGUGGCGCAGCUAACGCAUUAAGUUGACCGCCUGGGGAGUACGGCCGCAAGGUUAAAACUCAAAUGAAUUGACGGGGGCCCGCACAAGCGGUGGAGCAUGUGGUUUAAUUCGAAGCAACGCGAAGAACCUUACCAGGCCUUGACAUCCAAUGAACUUUCUAGAGAUAGAUUGGUGCCUUCGGGAACAUUGAGACAGGUGCUGCAUGGCUGUCGUCAGCUCGUGUCGUGAGAUGUUGGGUUAAGUCCCGUAACGAGCGCAACCCUUGUCCUUAGUUACCAGCACGUCAUGGUGGGCACUCUAAGGAGACUGCCGGUGACAAACCGGAGGAAGGUGGGGAUGACGUCAAGUCAUCAUGGCCCUUACGGCCUGGGCUACACACGUGCUACAAUGGUCGGUACAGAGGGUUGCCAAGCCGCGAGGUGGAGCUAAUCCCACAAAACCGAUCGUAGUCCGGAUCGCAGUCUGCAACUCGACUGCGUGAAGUCGGAAUCGCUAGUAAUCGCGAAUAAGAAUGUCGCGGUGAAUACGUUCCCGGGCCU